rnacentral:rRNA from 1 species
ACUCAAAGGAAUAGACGGGGGCCCGCACAAGCGGUGGAGCAUGUGGUUCAAUUCGACGCAACGCGAAGAACCUUACCUGGGCUCGAACGGCUGGUCAACGGCGGUGGAAACAUCGCUACUCCGCAAGGGGGUCCAGUCGAGGUGCUGCAUGGCUGUCGUCAGCUCGUGUCGUGAGAUGUUGGGUUAAGUCCCGCAACGAGCGCAACCCUUGUCCUGUGUUGCCAUCAUUUAGUUGGGAACUCUCAGGAGACCGCCAGCGAUAAGUUGGAGGAAGGUGGGGAUGACGUCAAGUCAUCAUGGCCUUUAUGUCCAGGGCUACACACGUGCUACAAUGGCCGGUACAAUACGCUGCUAACCCGCAAGGGGGCGCUAAUCGCUAAAAACCGGUCUCAGUUCGGAUUGCAGGCUGCAACUCGCCUGCAUGAAGCUGGAAUCGCUAGUAAUGGCGUAUCAGAACGACGCCGUGAAUACGUUCCCGGGCCUUGUACACACCGCCCGU